GCUCAGGUGGCCUAGUGGUUAGAGCAUCUGCCUCAGAUGCAGGAGGGCUUGGAUUCGAUCCCAUCUGAGUCA